GUUUUUUUAGUAUAUAAAGUAUAUGCGACUUCCAAUCACAAGGACUAGAAAUCCCUAGAAAAAACA
rnacentral:tRNA from 1 species